GCAUGAUGUACAAGUCUAUCGAGCACUUUCUCAAUGACAGUUUUCUUCUCUAGGAGCUCUGCCUCUGACUCUAUCUCACUCUCCAUCUCGCCCAGGUACCAGCUGAUCA